UGCUAAGGCUGAUGGCGACCGGCGCACGGGUGAGUAACACGUAUCCAACCUGCCGUCUACUCUUGGCCAGCCUUCUGAAAGGAAGAUUAAUCCAGGAUGGCAUCAUGAGUUCACAUGUCCGCAUGAUUAAAGGUAUUUUCCGGUAGACGAUGGGGAUGCGUUCCAUUAGAUAGUAGGCGGGGUAACGGCCCGCCUAGUCAACGAUGGAUAGGGGUUCUGAGAGGAAGGUCCCCCACAUUGGAACUGAGACACGGUCCAAACUCCUACGGGAGGCAGCAGUGAGGAAUAUUGGUCAAUGGGCGAUGGCCUGAACCAGCCAAGUAGCGUGAAGGAUGACUGCCCUAUGGGUUGUAAACUUCUUUUAUAAAGGAAUAAAGUCGGGUAUGCAUACCCGUUUGCAUGUACUUUAUGAAUAAGGAUCGGCUAACUCCGUGCCAGCAGCCGCGGUAAUACGGAGGAUCCGAGCGUUAUCCGGAUUUAUUGGG
rnacentral:rRNA from 1 species